rnacentral:rRNA from 1 species
CAGCAGCCACGGUAAUACAGAGGCCUCAAGCGUUGUUCGGAUUCAUUGGGCGUAAAGGGUGCGUAGGCGGUUCCGUUAGUCGGAUGUGAAAUCCUGGGGCUCAACCCCAGAACUGCAUUCGAUACUGCGGGGCUAGAGGACUGGAGAGGAGAGUGGAAUUCACGGUGUAGCAGUGAAAUGCGUAGAUAUCGUGAGGAAGACCAGCGGCGAAGGCGGCUCUCUGGACAGUUCCUGACGCUGAUGCACGAAGGCCAGGGGAGCAAACGAGAUUAGAUACCCCUGUAGUCCCUGUCUCUUAUAC